rnacentral:sRNA from 1 species
ACCUAGCACGAGGCCUUUUGGGAACUCACUGGUUUCGGGUUCCAUCGGAAUUCUGAAGUUAAGCGAGUUUGGGCGAGAGCAUUCCCAAGAUGGGUGACCCACUGGGAAGUUCUCGUGUGAGUUCCCAGAAACAAAAUCGUGAGGGCAUGGUCGGGGCCUAAAGCAGACAAUAUCGUGCUACGACGGUGGAGCAGGCCUGGGAUGUGGUGGACUCCGAGUCGGGAUGUGAUAGUUUGGUAUCAGAGCCAAUCCCUAGCCGAAAGUGUGCCGACGAGGAUGUCGGACCCCUAAGUGGGUGGAUUGUAAGAUCCCACAUCAUCCAGGGGAGUGAUCCUUAUAUGUAUAUUCCCAUCCCUACCUAGCACGAGGCCUUUUGGGAGCUCGCUAGCUUCAGAUUCCAUCGGAACUCAGAAGUUAAGCGAGUAGAGCACGAGAGCACUCCCAUGAUGGGUGACCCACUAGAAAGUUCUCGUGUGAGUUCCUAGAAACAAAACCGUGAAGGCAUGGUCGAGGCCCAAAACGAACAAUAUCGUGCUACGGUUGAGUCGAGCCCGGGAUGUGGUAGGGGCCCAGGCCAGGAUGUGACAAUUUAGUAUCAGAGUUAAUCUCUAGCUGGAAGUGUGCCGACGAGGACGUUUGGCCCCUAAGGGGGGUGGAUUGUAAGAUCUCACAUCACCCAGGGGAGUGAUCCUUAUAUGUAUAUUCCCAUCCCUACCUAGCACGAGGUCUUUUGGAAGCUCACUGGCUUCAGAGUUUAUCGGAACUCGGAAGUUAAGCGAGUAGUGCACGAGAGCAUUCCCAUGAUGGGUGACCCACUGGGAAGUUCUCGUGUGAGUUCCUAGAAACAAAACCGUAAGGGCGUGGUCGAGCCCCAAAGCGGAAAAAAUCGUGCUACGACGGUGGAGCGGGCCCAGGAUAUGGUGGACCUCGGGUUGGGAUGUGACAAUUUGGUAUCAAAGCCUAACCCUGGCUGUGGUGUGCCGACGAGGACGUCGAGCCCCUAAAAGGGGUGGAUUGUAAGAUCCCACAUCGCCCAGGGGAGUGAUCCUUAUAUGUAUAUUCCCAUCCCUACCUAGCAUGAGGCCUUUUGGGAGCUCGCUGGCUUCAGAUUCCAUCGGAACUCGGAAGUUAAGCGAGUAGAGCACAAGAGCACUCCCAUGAUGGGUGACCCACUGGGAAGUUCUCGUGUGAGUUCCUA